rnacentral:rRNA from 1 species
UACGUAGGGCGCAAGCGUUAUCCGGAAUUAUUGGGCGUAAAGAGCUCGUAGGCGGUUUGUCGCGUCUGCCGUGAAAGUCCGGGGCUCAACUCCGGAUCUGCGGUGGGUACGGGCAGACCAGAGUGAUGUAGGGGAGACUGGAAUUCCUGGUGUAGCGGUGAAAUGCGCAGAUAUCAGGAGGAACACCGAUGGCGAAGGCAGGUCUCUGGGCAUUAACUGACGCUGAGGAGCGAAAGCAUGGGGAGCGAACAGG